rnacentral:tRNA from 1 species
GCGGAUGUGGCGUAACUGGUAGCCGUGCUAGACUUAGGAUCUAGUGCCGAAAGGCGUGGGGGUUCGAGUCCCUUCAUCCGCA